CAGCACAGGAGCUUGGACAUGCUGAUUCACGCCAGAAGUACCACAGUUCCUCAAUUAAGGAUGCAUUUUCAAGGGUGAACUUGGGAGCCUCUUGUGGCUCAGCCAUAACGAACCUGACUAGCAUCCAUGAGGACGCAGGUUCGAUCUCUGGCCUCCCUCAGUGGGUUAAGGAUCCGGCGUUGCCAUGAGCUGUGGUGUAGGUCACAGACACAGCUUGGAUCUGGCGUUGCUGUGGCUGUGGUGUAGGCUGGCAGCCACAGCUCCAAUUUGACCCUUAGCCUGGGACCUUCCGUGUGCUGCAGGUGUGGCCGUUAAAAGAACCCCCCCCACGGAAAAAGAAUGGUCACCCUUACAAUUCGUGGGGCUCCGGGUCCGUCAGAUGUGGUAGAGCCUGUUUCUCAAGCGCUUGCAUGAUGACUGGUGGUGUGGCACUUGCUUCGGACAUGUCUGCUAAAUUCAAUCCUCAACAAAAUCAAAUCCACCCAUUUCUGAUGCGAAACCUCAGCUCCUCUCCAGCCAAGCCGCUGGUCGGUGGCAGAGUUUCCGGCUCCAAGGGGUUGGGGGGCCCUUGCGAGGGAGAGAGGCUCUCAGACCUUGUCUCUGUUCCCUGGUGCCCACCUCAGACGGGCUGAUGGUGUGGGUCUUUGGCCCUUCCCUGUGCCUCUGGAACGAGACCACUUUCUUUCUUCUAGUGGUCACCAAGCUGCCGCCUGCGAGUUUUCUGGACACUUGCGGCUGAACUGUGUUCCGAUCGAAAGAAACGCAAUUACUCUCGGAGACUCGAGGGCAAUUGUGAACACUUGCAGCCUUGCCUUCUUGCUCGAUACUCGCUUGGAGGGGCUCUCCUGAGAGGGCUGGAAAGCCAUCUCUGGCUGGAGAGCGAUCUGGACAGCCUCGGCUCUGUGCCGGGGAUGCACCGGCAGCUCUUCGCCUCUCUCAGGGCGGGGCAGAGUUAUUUUCACUCAGGCGUGGAUGGGGGACUUGACUCAGGACAGAGGUGACAUCCCGCCUCUUUCAGGUGCGAGCCAAUUUGUCGAAAGGUAGCAGAGGGGAUUGUUAGGGAUGCCAGGCAGUUUGGAGUGUCCUCCAGGGAGAGAACCUGAAGGGGGGAGGCGCCUUCAGAUGUUCCGCGCCCUUUUGCAAAGCGCUGGGAGGGUCAGCAGUUCCUACCCUGAGAAUCUCAUCAAAGAGCUAAGUGAUGCCCAGAGGGAUGCCUAGUUCUCCCAGAAUGCUGAGUCCCAAGCUUUCUUCUUGUUGAAAUAGGCGGCGCGGGGCGGGGUGCCUCUCACCCCCAUCUUAAGGUGCAGAUAGAAAGAAUGCUAAGCACACUCGUGCUGUCUUUGUGCCCAAGCUGGGUGAGGGGAGGGGACCCAAGGAGGGUGGCCCAGGGAGGGAGAGGGAAGAGACCUGGGGGCAGCGGUCUGGGCCCGGUGGUGGUCAUUCCCUCCCCAGCGAUGGACAUGGGCCCUCUGAGCCUCCCCCUCGCUGGCUCUCUGCGAGCGUUUCUUCCAUCACAGUGGCGUUUCUUCUGCCCCCUCACCCAGCCCUCCUGACUCUGCACCACCCACCUGGGCCCAAGGGAGGUGGAUGGAAAGGUCCUUCCAUGGCUCCCUUACUUUCAUCUCUAAUGGGGAGCCUUGGAUUUGGAGUUGGCGGCCCGGGGGCGGGGGUUCUAGCUGCUCCCUGUGGACCCCAGAGCUCAGCCAGACAGGCUGGGACAAGGGGGCCAGGCGCCUCUGACUGCAGCUUCUGCACCGGCCGUGUGCUUGUUGAGCUCGUGCCCAUGGCUCCCAGGCCUGAUCUCUCAGUUAUUACUGCGCACAGCCAAGCAGACAGCAGCGGUAAUUAUCAGCACUUUGAGAGCUGCCAUUCGCCUCGCUCGGCAAGGUGACUCAGAACAUUAGAUCAGAAUUAGAGAAGGAGAAAAAAACGAUCCAGCGAAGCCCCCCCGACCCCACCCCACCCUUGUGUGAUCUCCGGCUCUCAAGCCCACCGAAGCACUCACUUUGGAGACAGAGCUCUGUCACACUGGUGUUCACUCUGCCCUUUCUCCUGGAUGAGGCACGUAGGGUUCCCUGCAGUGGAAGGGGCUGCCUUGUCAUCUGGCUCACGCCUGCACCUCUGGGAGCCAUCAGGUUUGUGCUGAAGGAGCCCUGGGGAGAGGCGGCAAGCUGGAGAGGGAGACGUGGUCACCGGAGGCAAGGCGGGAGCCCUGCUGUUGACUCUUCUGAUUUGUCUAUUGUGUUGACCUGGGAUGCUUUGCUCUAGUUUCAAAUUUUAAGCUCCAUGAGGGUAGAACAGGCUCGGUCUGGCUCACAGCUGCACCUCCAGAACCUGGAGCUGAGCCCAGGUAGUGCUUGUGGGAGCAGGAUUCGGGACUGGCUCCAGUGUGCCAGAGGCAGGGAGCCCCUUGCCAGCAACUACUGCCCCCCCCCGGGGGGGGGUAGGAGGCAAACACACUGGGGCUGUCUGCUGGGGUGUCCUCUGCACUUUCUGCUCAGGGAUUGGCCUGCAGAGCCUGACUAAGGAUGGAAAAUUUUAUUCUUGCUUCAGGAAAGCGCAAGAAAAAUAUUUGUUCCCAUCAUCAAAGUGGAAAUUUAAGUCAAUGACAAUGGAAACUAUUUCUGGCCAUUCACAGACUAGGAAGAGAAGGGAGUGGGUCGAUUCAAAACAGGGUGGAAGAAUUCAGGCACUGAAAACUGUAAAUUUUAGGGGUGAAAUAACAGCACAGAAAUAAAAACUCACCAAGGGAACAUAAACCAGCCCUUUUGUCAAGCAGACAGGGCAAACCCCGUCCUAUUUCCUGGUUUGAGCUGGGCUGCAGAGGUGAGGGGCAGCAGGGGGAACUUCUAAGGGAGAAGCGCUGGGGUUUCCUCCCCCUCCUGCACACGACUUGUUGACAUCAGGCAGCUUUUCAGGGCGUCCGGUCACCCAUGCACGCCUGUCUCCUUCAUCCCCACCCUCUGAAAACCCUAUUUUGGCGGAGUCUCUGGGGUAGAUGGACACCAGAGGGUUUCCAGGUGAAAAUGCGAGGGGCGCCCAGCAGUGAGCCAAAGCUUGCCUGGGAGUUGGGUGUUUUGUGGGUUCAAAUCGGGCUGGGAAGGAAGCAGCUGACUAGAAUAAUCUGGAGGGGGGCAGGGGAGAUAGAUGAAGUAAGAUGGACCCUGCAUUGGGGGUGAUUGGUCUGGGGUGCUGGCUCCUAUAGGGUUCAUUUUAUGACUCUGUUUAAUUUGGCUAAUGUUCAUCCAUGUCCAUAAUCAAAAGUCACAAAAUACAAGAAGCAGCUGACCCCCCGUUUCCCUCCUUGGGCACCAUCCCCUAGUGGAGGUCUCUUUCCUCUUUUGUUCUAUGUAGACUGACUCUCCCAAGACCCGGGUCCCAAAUCCUGCAGGAAUGUGGAAAGGAAAAAAUGUGAGACAGACUUUUAUCAGGGUUUGCAUUGAGCGCUUUAGUUUUUUCCAUGGCCUUUUGGAGAUCCACUUCUGAGAAGCAGCGAGGGUUUUCCCUGUUCCCAAGGUACACGUCCAGGAACAUACUGAGGCCAGCUGGACACCUGGUGGGGGCUCCCAAGUCCACGUUCCCAGCUCCACUGGGGGCCUCUGGUACUGCCCCCCUCGGGCCAUGUCCCCUCCUCUGGUGGGUGCCCCUUCCUCAAUGGUAGUGCCUGGGUUCGGGCUCAGAGGGGCUGCCGUGCCUGCAGGAGCGGGGGCUGUGCUGCCCCCACUGCCUGGAGGGGCCGUUGUUCAAGCCAGCACUUUGCAGCCUCCACAGGAGGGGUUCCACAUUGCAUAGGCGGCCAGAACAGGACGGGCUGGGCGAACCUUUUUGCCCAUGUUGUGCAGAGAGGCCUUCUGCCUGGACCCUGGGGUGGCUGUAGCAUAAACGCUCGCGCAUGCGAAGGGGUCGUCUUUGAAUUCCUGUGUGAAUCCAUCAUGUAUUCACGGCCCCCAUUUGUUCCUGCCCUACAAGGAGCUCUCUUCCCAACCUCGUUCUUGUAUAUGAUUUUCUUUUUGGUGGCGGCCCCAUUGACCAGGUAAUUAUUUGGCAGCUGAAUCGAGGCAGCCUUCUCCUUGCUCGCUUCCGCUCUCUCCUCUAGGUCACAGCUCAUGGGCACAGUACAGAGGUCAGGUGCGUACGGCCUGAGUCUGUCCUGGCCCCGCCGACUCAGAACGCAAGUCUGAGAAGACCUAGCAGUGGUCACAGACCCGGCUGCGGUGGCGUCCCCCUCUUUCACCGUCUCCAUUGCCCGAGUUGGCCUCAUGCCCAUUUCUUCCCUGCCAUUGGCACUCUCUCCCAGUGGGGCACCUCCUCAGCCUCUCUUCCUGUCCCUUUACCAGGUGGCCACCGAGGAGCAUUUUAUGAAGAUGCAAAUCUGGAGGCCGUGAUGGAGGAUAAUAUAAGAAAGGGAAGCAUGACCCGGUCACUUUGCUAUAUAGCAGAAAUUAGCGCAAUUGCUAAAGUAGAGCAAAUCAGCUAUACUUUAAUUAAAAAAGUUAAAUGAAAAACAUAAAAUAAGAUCACAAAUCUGAUCAUAACCUGCCUGCUUCCAACUCUUCCGGGGCUCUCCGUGGCCCACAGCGCGAGUGAGGUCUUCAGCGGGGCCUGCGUGCCUUUUAGGAGCUGAGGCCACCCUUGUCCCUCGGCUUCUCCUCUGACCACUUCUGCACACACAUCUCAGGUUGCAGCUUGCCAUCUCUUUUGUUCUCAUUCUCUGCUGGUUACAGCCCCCCUCACCUUUGCAUCCGCCAGUCCCUCGCUGGGAAAUGUUCACCUGCCUUGUUCAUCCCAAAACUGUGUGUUCUUGUGGCAGACCCUUAUCUGCGGUUCUGACAUUCAAAAAGUUCUGAAAGGAGUUCCCGUUGUGGCUCCGUGGUUAACGAAUCCGACUAGGAACCAUGAGGUUGCGGGUUCGAUCCCUGGCCUUGCUCAGUGGGUUAAGGAGCCAGCGUUGCCGUGAGCUGUGGUGUAUGUCGCAGACGCAGCUCGGAUCUGGCAUUGCUGUGGCUCUGGCGUAGGCCGGUGGCCUCAGUUCCAAUUAGAUCCCUAGCCUGGGAACUUCCAUAUGCCUCAGGUGCAGCCCUGGAAAAGACAAAAAGAAUGACAAAAAAAAAAAAAAAAAAAAGUUCUGAAAGCCAGAGGUUGGGCUUUGUAACUCGUUUGGCUGCAAAAUUCUACCUGAACAGUCUUGAGACUCUUGGUGGCAUCUCCUGAUCCCUCUUAGUGUGGCCGUGCAAGUGGUUGAUCCCAGAUGCUGCUCUAGGCCCCAGGGAGGGGGAGUGGGAAGAGGGGGAGAUGAAUGCCUUAUAAUAAAGGUGUAUGUACCCAUUAUCUCUCUGAAACCAGAAGCAUCUACCUCCAGACCCUUCUGGCCCAAGAGCUUUGGAGAAGGCAUCAUGGGCUUGAAUUUACUGGAUCAAGUUGGCCUCUUCCCACUAGACCGUAAGGGUCCUGGAUUGUGUCCUAUUCGAUAUUUUUGUGUUUCCUUGGAGUCUUCAAGAGUAACUGGCACUGUUAGAAUAAAUACCCAGUAAGAGUUUGUUGGAUGAAUGGAUAAUAAUAGCUAGCAUAUAUUAACAUUUAUUAAGCCCCGCCAGGCUCCAUUCUAAAUGCUUUACUUAUUUCCACUCAUUUCAUCUUCACAACAGCCCUCUACGAGGGUACUUAUUUUAUCCUUGUUUAUAGAUGGAGAGAUUGAGGCAUCUGCUGGUGAGGUGACUCGCCCAGAUCGCCUGGCCAGGAUGUGAAGAGGUGGGAUUUGAAUUCAAGCGGCCUGAUUUUUAACCACGAGGCUGUUCUGCUCUAUGGAGGUGUGAGGGCGUGGUGCUUAGUGGUUCAGGUGAAGUUGGGGGAGAAGGUGGAAGCCGUUUUAAGGACUUUGCCUUCUCCACUGCAGUAUGCAUGCUUUCUUACUGUCCUGAAGUUGCAAUAGUACCGCUCAUCCCCAGAGCAUUUGUGAUAGGGUAAUAAAAUGAUGGGAGGUAGGAGUUUAAAAAAAGAAAAAAAAUCCUUAAUAGUUAUUUGAGUGUUCUACUGAGUGCCAGAUGGAAUUCGGCACCUGCAGAAAUAGACCAUCCAAAGUAACGUGUCUUCGCUAUCUUGUCCAGCAUGUAGAGGGAUGAUGCACUUGAGGCCCAGAGAGGUCAAGUGCCUUGCCUGAAGUUGCAGAGCCAGAGUGCACUGCAGGGACCCAGAUCCAGUACCCUUCCGUGGGGGCCUUUUCUCUUGCUCCCGGGAGGUAUACUGGACCCGAGGGCUGAGUCACUGUAUGGAUUUCAGCCCGGAGCUUGGAACCUCUCCCCUUGGUUGGUUAGCUUGCUGGCUGACCACAUGGCGUGUGAAUUGGUAUCAGACAAGGUUUUAGAAUAAGAAGUGUUCCGCUCCACACACAACAGCUCUGUCCAUCACGGGGGGGUGCGGCGUGGCGGGGGCGCCCUGUCUACUUUGUGAGCUUUGUGCAGACAAAACUGAGGAUUGAUUGACUGCCUAUUCCAGCAGAGCGGCGGCUGCUUUUACAGUCAUGUCCUCCGAGGUCGCUGCCCGGUGGGUUUGUGCUGGGGAGGCCCUAGUUUGUGAGUAGAGAGCUCAGGCUCGGCUUGGUGUUCAGGACAAAGAAUUUGCCCUUGACUUCUGUGUACCUCGGAGGCGAUGGCCCGUCCAGUACAUCAGUCUAAUUGGAUAGUUCUUUCCUUCUCCACCUGGGAGAGGACAAACCUUUCCUCUCCACUCCGUUCGAGUUUGGUAUGCAGAAGCCCUGCUGUGUGUGUGUGUGUGUGUGUGUGUGUGCGCACGCAUGCAAGCGCGCAGAUGUUUUCUUUACUCAUUUUGUUUAUUAAUUUAAUUAAUUUUUAACUGCCUGUUUUCCUCUGCAAAGUUAAUGUUUUAAAAAUAAAAUACACUCUGGAGUUCCCGUCGUGGCGCAGUGGUUAAUGAAUCCGACUAGGAACCAUGAGGUUGCGGGUUCGAUCCCUGGCCUUGCUUAGUGGGUGAAGGAUCUGGCAUUGCUGUGAGCUGUGGCUCUGGUGUAGGCCGAUGGCUACAGCUCCGAUUCGACCCCUAGCUUGGGAACCUCCAUAUGCCUCGGGAGCAGCUCAAGAAAAGACAGAAAG
rnacentral:lncRNA from 1 species